GAUGAAGAACGCAGUAAAAUGCGAUAAGUAGUGUGAAUUGCAGAAUUCAGUGAAUCAUCGAAUCUUUGAACGCACAUUGCGCCCCUUGGUAUUCCAUGGGGCAUGCCUGUUCGAGCGUCAUUUGUACCUUCAAGCUUUGCUUGGUGUUGGGUGUUUGUCUCGCCUUUGCGUGUAGACUCGCCUUAAAAUAAUUGGCAGCCGGCGUAUUGAUUUCGGAGCGCAGUACAUCUCGCGCUUUGCACUCAUAACGACAGCGUCCAAAAGUACAUUUUACACUCUUGACCUCGGAUCAGGUAGGGAUACCCGCUGAACUUAAGCAUAUCAAUAAGCGGAGGA
rnacentral:misc_RNA from 1 species